GCCUUGAUGGUGAAAUGGUAGACACGCGAGACUCAAAAUCUCGUGCUGAAGAGCGUGGAGGUUCGAGUCCUCUUCAAGACA
rnacentral:tRNA from 1 species